UAGGGAAUCUUCGGCAACGGACGAAAGUCUGACCGAGCAACGCCGCGUGAGUGAAGAAGGUUUUCGGAUCGUAAAACUCUGUUGGUAGAGAAGAACGUUGGUGAGAGUGGAAAGCUCAUCAAGUGACGGUAACUACCCAGAAAGGGACGGCUAACUACGUGCCAG
rnacentral:rRNA from 1 species